GUGCUCAUUUCAGCAGCACAAAUACUAAAACUGGAACAACACAUAGAAAAUUAGCAUGGCCCCUGCACCAGGAUGACAUGCAAAUUCAUGAAGACAGUUCUUU